UUCUUGUUUUGAUAUUAAUUUGUCAAAAAUAAACAAAAUUCGGAAACGAUGUUAUUUUUAGCACAAAAAAUGACAGACCACUGUAAACAACGCAAUGGUCGUGCCGUUGAAACAAAGGCUCAAAAUUUAAAAUAAAAUAACAAUAAAAUACCACAAGGAUAUAAGUAUUGGCUUUUAAAUGAGACCAUUCAUUUACACUUUUCUGCGAUCAGAAAUAGAUUUAAAACAUUGAUUUGAAAUGACCCUCUCAUUCACCAUCUCUCGUCUUUUUUCUGGAAACCCGAUUCUAAUUUUAGACUGCAUUUUCGGAGAAAAAGGUCACGUGAGUUUAAGCUACUCAUUAAGGCUGGAGACAUGGCGUUUAACGGUCGAAGGUAUUUCUAAGGAAUAAAAUCGUUUUGUUUUGCUUGCAGAUGGAAGGAGACGAAAAAAUCUUUAUGAGAAAAUACAUCUCGGAAUAUCUGCUGUUCAAACCUACAAAGGAUGGAGUCGGAUGAAAUCUGCAUGCCAAAACCACAGUUAUGUGAUUGGUACGAGCCCAGAUGUUCAAGUUUUGCUAACAUACAGCAGUGGUGUUUGACAGACUUUCCACAGCAGUGUUAUGGAGGCAAAAUCAGAUUACUGUGAUGUGACCAGGCCAAGAUGUUAAAAUUUUACAAGCAUACUGAUGUGAUGUGGGCCAGAUUUUUCACAGCAGAGCAAUAUGUACAUGCCAAGAUGCUAAUUUUUUACAAGCAUAUUGAAGGAGUUGUUAUUACAAGCAUACUGAAGUGAUGUGUGCUCCACAGCAGUAUAUUAUCGAAAGAAAAUCAGUAUAUACUUUAAAAAUACUUUGCGGAUAUCUUGAAUUUCAACAAACAUAAUGCAAUUUCAGCUUAAUCAUAGUGUAAGGCUGUAGAAACUUUGCAAUGAAUUUCAGUUUCAAAAUGUGUUGCUGCAUAUUUCUGAUUUUGUACGCUUGUGUUACAGAAUAAGCAAGUGUCAGGCAGCAAUCAUAAAACUAUGAACACUUAUAUACUUAUGUGAACUAUGCUUCAUUUUUUCUCAAAGCACAGUUGUGAAGUGUUGAUGUGAUUUGUACCAGCCAUAAUGUUUAAGUUUUACUAACAAACAGCAGUGAUGUGUGAUAGAUUUUCCACACCAUAUUUCUUGAGAGGAAAAAUAUCAGGUAUUCAUUUCACAACUACUUUGCAGAUAUCUUGAAUUUCAAUAAAAGCAUUAUUAUAUUUCGGCUUCACACGUUUGCAUUGCAUAAAUACUCUAGAUAUGGUCUAUAUAUGGCCUAAGUGUCAUAAACACUCUAGAUAAGGCCUAUGCACUUUCAUUUUGAAAAUUUGAAAUGCUUUUCAGUCUUAUAUAUUUUCAUUACAGGCAGCUAGAGUAGAGACAAGAUGCAACUGACUCAGUUCAAAGUGAUGUGUGCAUCUUAAAUGAACAGAGACAGAAUUGUUUUCACCAUUCAAAAUAACAGACUCUUAUUUAGUCCAUAUGCAUAUGUAUUGUUUCUCAUUAUGAUAUCUGCGCCCACAGAAGAAUAAUCUGCCCGUAAAAGAGUAACUAUUACUUAUUGUGUUUGUUGUCUUAUAAUAUGAAAAGUAGUAGCAGUCUCCGAAAUAACGUUCUGUGCGAAUUUGUCUGUAUUUAAGUCUAUAUCAUGUCCCGUACGUCCGCAAUUUAUGCUAUGCCAGCUUGUAUGGAAAAUACGCUGUCCUAAUGAAAUAAUGAGACAAUGGUAUUCACCUAUAUCAAUAAACAAUUUCACUCAUGUGGAUUAUGUCUUUGUUUAUUUAGUGCACU